CCAGAGGAGAGCGAGAUCCAGAUCUAGAGCGGCGGGGAGGGGAGGGGAAAUGACGCUAGGGUUUGCAGCCGAGCGGGGCGAGGCGGCCGGCGGGCUUAUAUACCCCAUCCCCAAUGGCUUGAUCCAACGGUCGGGAGGCGAUGGGAUGCCAGAGAUGAACGGUCGGGAGGCGAGGGGCGUGGGGGUGUCGGGCCAGCAUCGGGCCGGCCCAAAAAUCGUGUCGGGCUCGUGCUGGCCCAGCGUGCCGGGAG
rnacentral:lncRNA from 1 species